UUUCUAAACACGGACCAAGGAGUCUAACAUGUGUGCAAGCGACAGAGUUGUUGACUAAGCUCUGGCGCGAAAUGAGAGUGUAUUGCGUAAAUGUGUCGGCGCUGCCACGCAGGCAUCAAUUUAUCGUAUUAGCGGUGAUCCGUAAAACUGUGCCUUGUGUACGUGUUUGCGGCGCAACCGCAGGCCGCAUUACUGGCUGCAGACGUCUUUGGCGUUCUGUAGCUCGGUGUGGACCUAGNAGUACACACGUUGGUACCCGAAAGAUGGUGAACUAUGUCUGGCCAGGAUGAAGCCAGGGGAAACCCUGGUGGAGGUCCGUAGUGGUUCUGACGUGCAAAUCGAUCCUAUGAGCUGGAUAUAGGGGCGAAAGACCAAUCGAACCAUCUAGUAGCUGGUUCCGCCCGAAAUUUCCCUCAGGAAAGCUGGCGCUCUGAGGAGUUUCAUCCGGUAGAGCGAAUGAUUAGAGGAUUUUGGGCAGUACUUUUGCUCAACCUAUUCUCAAACUACCAAUGGGUGAAUCGUUGCGCUGUAUGAACUAUGCUAUGCAUGGUACAGCGUAACUACAUAAUCCGAGUGCCCAGUGGGCCACUUUUGGUAAGCAGAACUGGCGAUGCGGGAUGAACCGCAUGCCCAAGUUGAGGUGCCUAAGUGAACGCUUAUCAGAAACCAUUUGAAAGGUGUUGAUUGCUCAAGACAGCARGACAGUGGCCGUGGAAGUAGGCAUCCGCUAAGGA
rnacentral:rRNA from 1 species